AACGUAGGAGACAAACGUUAUCCGGAGUUACUGGGCGUAAAGGGCGUGUAGGUGGUUACGUAAGUCUGGCGUGAAAUUUCUCGGCUUAACCGAGGCAGGUCGUCGGAUACUGCGAGACUAGAGGACGGUAGAGGCGUGUGGAAUUCCGGGUGUAGUGGUGAAAUGCGUAGAGAUCCGGAGGAACACCAGUGGCGAAGGCGACACGCUGGGCCGUACCUGACACUGAGGCGCGAUAGCAUGGGAGCAACAGGG
rnacentral:rRNA from 1 species